AAUUGUUUAGCAAAAUAUGAUGAUUUAAUGACUAUAUUGUCACUAAAUCAUCAUAUUUUGUUUAAAUUCUAUAAUCUAUUGUUCCUAAACAUUACCCUAUUGCUACAUUUCAUACGGGUGCCUCCGUAUUGAGUCAAAAUUGCGGAACAAUUAUUGAAAGAGACAAUAAUACCAAUAUUGUAAUCACAUCGCUCAAUUUAGCACGGGCUUGUGAUGAAACUGACUUUCGUAAAAAUGAUUUGGUAGAUGAUUUAAAGGUGUUUAUUUUAUUUUAUGAUUUGUAUUCUUACUGUAUGAGUAUUAUUUUGUUUAGGGUAUAAUGUAGUUUAAUAUUAUUUUGAAGGUGGUUGUUUAUGCUAGUGAUGGUAGUUGGUAUCUGGGAGAAAUAAUUUUUUCGGCAAUUUGGCUGUUGUCAAGUUCCGUUCUAAAAGAUUUUUUGAGCCGGCAAAGUUAUCCAUGAUUGAUGACGCUAGUGUUUCGGAAACUGAUUCUCUUCAUUGUCAUUCAAGCAAAUUAAAACAUGGUGAUACCGUAAUUGUAGUUGGUCGUUAUUUUCAAGGGGCAAAUGAAUAUAUGGCCACUCCGGG
rnacentral:lncRNA from 1 species